CCUGUGCUAGCUGGUAGUGUAGUCAAGUAACUUUAACAGUAUAGAAACUGUGAUAGUAAAGUAACUUCAACGGUAUAGUAAUUGAGGAUUAACUGUCCAGAAUGAAGAUACUCCAUGUUGUCUCCUGCUGUCUUCUCUCAGCUCUGUGUGUUGUGGAGUCAGCUGUCAAAAAUGUGAAGGAGGUGGUAGGAGGACAAGUCACUGUGGGCUGCUCAUUCACAUUGGCAGGGAACAACAUCAAACGCUUUUGCAAGGGGACAUGUUCUGAUGAAGACAUUCUGGUUCAAACUAAUGGGAGAAAGAAUGUAUCUCAAGGUAGAUACAGUAUAGAAGACAAGGGAGAUGGAAUCUUCUAUGUGACCAUCAAGAACCUGAAGAUGUCAGACUCUGGGACCUAAUGGUGUGGAGUGGAGAGAUUUAUAAAGGACACAUACCAAGAGGUGUAUCUCACAGUUACAGAUGCUCCUCCUACUCCUACACCGUCACCUGUCACCUCCAGACCCCAUGUCUCCACAAUCCUCCCAAACCUCUCUGCAGCAUCCCCAAACACCUCCACAAUCCUCCCUAACCUCUCUGCAGCAUCCCCAAACACCUCCACAAU